AGAGCAGGGGAUUGAAAAUCCCCGUGUCCCUGGUUCGAUUCCGGGUUCGGGCACCAUAUUUAAAGAACCCGCCUCU
rnacentral:tRNA from 1 species